rnacentral:rRNA from 1 species
UACGUAGGUGGCGAGCGUUGUCCGGAAUGAUUGGGCGUAAAGGGAGCGCAGGUGGGACGGUAAGUCCUUCUUAAAAGGCAGGGGCUCAGCCCCUGUAAGGGAAGGAAACUAUCGUUCUUGAGUGCCGGAGAGGAAAGCGGAAUUCCCAGUGUAGCGGUGAAAUGCGUAGAUAUUGGGAAGAACACCAGUGGCGAAGGCGGCUUUCUGGACGGCAACUGACACUGAGGCUCGAAAGCCAGGGGAGCGAACGGG